rnacentral:rRNA from 1 species
AGCCUGAAUCAGUGUGUGUGUUAGUGGAAGCGUCUGGAAAGGCGCGCGAUACAGGGUGACAGCCCCGUACACAAAAAUGCACAUGCUGUGAGCUCGAUGAGUAGGGCGGGACACGUGGUAUCCUGUCUGAAUAUGGGGGGACCAUCCUCCAAGGCUAAAUACUCCUGACUGACCGAUAGUGAACCAGUACCGUGAGGGAAAGGCGAAAAGAACCCCGGCGAGGGGAGUGAAAAAGAACCUGAAACCGUGUACGUACAAGCAGUGGGAGCACAGAGCAAUCUGUGUGACUGCGUACCUUUUGUAUAAUGGGUCAGCGACUUAUAUUCUGUAGCAAGGUUAACCGAAUAGGGGAGCCGAAGGGAAACCGAGUCUUAACUGGGCGUUAAGUUGCAGGGUAUAGACCCGAAACCCGGUGAUCUAGCCAUGGGCAGGUUGAAGGUUGGGUAACACUAACUGGAGGACCGAACCGACUAAUGUUGAAAAAUUAGCGGAUGACUUGUGGCUGGGGGUGAAAGGCCAAUCAAACCGGGAGAUAGCUGGUUCUCCCCGAAAGCUAUUUAGGUAGCGCCUCGUGAAUUCAUCUCCGGGGGUAGAGCACUGUUUCGGCAAGGGGGUCAUCCCGACUUACCAACCCGAUGCAAACUGCGAAUACCGGAGAAUGUUAUCACGGGAGACACACGGCGGGUGCUAACGUCCGUCGUGAAGAGGGAAACAACCCAGACCGCCAGCUAAGGUCCCAAAGUCAUGGUUAAGUGGGAAACGAUGUGGGAAGGCCCAGACAGCCAGGAUGUUGGCUUAGAAGCAGCCAUCAUUUAAAGAAAGCGUAAUAGCUCACUGGUCGAGUCGGCCUGCGCGGAAGAUGUAACGGGGCUAAACCAUGCACCGAAGCUGCGGCAGCGACGCUUAUGCGUUGU